rnacentral:rRNA from 1 species
AUUGAACGCUGGCGGCAGGCCUAACACAUGCAAGUCGAGCGGAGCGGCGGACGGGUGAGUAAUGCCUAGGAAUCUGCCUGGUAGUGGGCGAUAACGUCCGGAAACGGGCGCUAAUACCGCAUACUAUCAGAUGAGCCUAGGUCGGAUUGGCUAGUUGGUGGGGUAAAGGCCUACCAAGGCGACGAUCCGUAACUGGUCUGAGAGGAUGAUCAGUCAAACUGGAACUGAUACACGGCCCAGACUCCGACGGGAGGCAGCAGUGGGGAAUAUUGGACAAUGGGCGAAAGCCUGAGCCAGCCAUGCCGCGUGUGUGAAGAAGGUCUUCGGAUUGUAAAUCACUUUAAGUUGGGAGGCGUUACCAAAAGAAUAAGCAACGGCUAACUACGUGCCAGCAGCCGCGGUAAUUC